UGGCUCAGUUGGUAGAGCAUGAGACUCUUGAUCUCAGGGUUGUGAGUUUGAGCCCCAU
rnacentral:tRNA from 1 species